CGAUUAAUAUAUGAAUAUGAGUAACAUCUGCUGAAUUACGAGCAUAACAUGCGUGAGGAAAACCUCUCCAAAAGACAUAUAUACGAAAUACAUAGGGCGAGCCGAUAAGGCUGCUUAUAGACAACUACAUAUCCAAAACUGGAAGCCGACAAGGCCACAUACUAUCCAACUAUGCAUGACUUUCUACAAACCUCUAAUAUAAUGUACAACUGUACAAGGACGAGAUUGGGCCCCGUCAUACCCAUAUAUGUGAACAAACCUAUUGUACCAAGAUCCAAAGCAGUUCCGGAUCAAAUGUGCUACUAAGAGUGCUUUUUUAAUGGUUAUGGAUUAAACGACGACGUUUUCUUCUAACUGAAAUUCGUCACCGUCGGAGGAUUUUAAGAUCAACAUCUUCUUAUCAGCAAUGUUGGUGUUGCUGCUGCUGGUGAAGAGGAGGCGGCCAUUGAAUGAUUGAAGAUUUUAGGAGAAAUUGAAUGGAAUUAC
rnacentral:lncRNA from 1 species